CAUUCCCUAGUACGGCGAGUGAAGCGGGAAGAGCUCAAAUUUGAAAUCUAGUAGCCUUCGGCUGCUCGAGUUGUAAUCUAGAGAAGUGUUUUCCGUGCCGGCCCAUGUACAAGUCCCUUGGAACAGGGCGUCAUAGAGGGUGAGAAUCCCGUCCUUGACAUGGACCCCCGGUGCUCUGUGAUACACUUUCAACGAGUCGAGUUGUUUGGGAAUGCAGCUCAAAAUGGGUGGUGAAUUCCAUCUAAAGCUAAAUAUUGGCGAGAGACCGAUAGCGAACAAGUACCGUGAGGGAAAGAUGAAAAGCACUUUGGAAAGAGAGUUAAACAGUACGUGAAAUUGUUGAAAGGGAAACGAUUGAAGUCAGUCAUGCUCUUUGGUAUUUAUAUCAUUGAGUGGGGUCAACAUCAGUUUUGAGCGAUGGAUAAAGGCACUAGGAAGGUAGCACUCUCGGGUGAACUUAUAGCCUAGCGUCAUAUACAUUGUUUGGGACUGAGGAACGCAGCAUGCCUUUAUGGCCGGGACUCGUCCACG
rnacentral:rRNA from 1 species